rnacentral:rRNA from 1 species
UGGGGAAUAUUGGACAAUGGGCGAAAGCCUGAUCCAGCAAUUCCGCGUGUGUGAAGAAGGCCUUCGGGUUGUAAAGCACUUUAGGCAGGGAAGAAAAAAUCGGAGUGAAUAACUCCGGUCUUGACGGUACCUGAGAAAUAAGCACCGGCUAACUCUGUGCCAGCAGCCGCGGUAAUACAGAGGGUGCAAGCGUUAAUCGGAUUUACUGGGCGUAAAGCGUGCGUAGGCGGCUCGCUAAGUCGGUUGUGAAAUCCCUGGGCUUAACCUGGGAACUGCAGUCGAUACUGGCGGACUAGAGUACGGUAGAGGGUGGCGGAACUCCGGGUGUAGCGGUGAAAUGCGUAGAUAUCCGGAAGAACACCGAUGGCGAAGGCAACCACCUGGGCCUGUACUGACGCUGAGGUACGAAAGCGUGGGGAGCAAACAG